rnacentral:rRNA from 1 species
UACGUAGGGGGCAAGCGUUGUCCGGAAUCAUUGGGCGUAAAGCGCGUGUAGGCGGUUUGAUAAGUCUGCUGUGAAAGUCCAGGGCUCAACCCUGGAAUGCCGGUGGAAACUGUCAAGCUGGAGUCCGGAAGAGGCGAGUGGAAUUCCUGGUGUAGCGGUGAAAUGCGCAGAUAUCAGGAGGAACACCAAUGGCGAAGGCAGCUCGCUGGGACGGUACUGACGCUGAGACGCGAAAGCGUGGGGAGCAAACAGG